rnacentral:snRNA from 1 species
GCUGGUAAGGUCUAUGGGUUAAGACCUAGCAUAAGGAGGCUGCACAGCCAGGCUGGAGACGAGCACCCCUGUUACAACUGUGGGGUACGGUUGAGAGCGAUAGCCCAGGCUGGUAGGCCACAGAGUGACAUGCUCCCGCAGUGGGG